GGAGCAUUGCUGGCACUUGCAGAAAGAAGUUUUUUCCUGGUCUCUGAUGAGGCUUAGAGAAGAGUGGUUGUGGCCCAAAUCUGCUGUCAGAGAAACUACUAGGAUGGCAGUGGUGGUGGGGAGAUGAAGCAGAUCACCACCGGACGCCAAGGCCCAGAGGAAAACACUCCCACCCUUUCCAUCCCAUCAUUAAAGCAGUGAAUCAGGCCAAGAGAGGCUAAGCACCAUUCCCAGGGGAUACCCAGGAAGGCAGAAGCAGAGCAGGAUAUACCCCAGCCCUCCAGUGCUGCAGUUUGGUGAUGUAGCUGUAGAUGAAUCAGUAAGGAGCUCAACAAGAUGGCAGAAGCCCUCAUGCCAUUUAUAUUUGAUGUAAUAGCUUGGGACAUGUGGAUGUUUUUUUUCCCCAAACUAGAAACAUGCUGUGAAAGUAGAUGCCUGCUAACUCCCUGCCUGCUGAGCCAAUGAGGUGAGCACGAGGGAAUGUUUGCUAAUCUAAUGGGCUUCUGGCGUAGACCCAGCCCCAGUUCCAGCCGUGCGAGAAGGAUCCAUCCCCACUGCUGCUUUGGGUUUGAAAGGGCUGGGUAAGAGGGGAAUGCUCCCUUCCGUGAAUUUCAUCCUCUUGGCAGGGAAGAGACAUGGAGGUAGUCAGUUAUAGAAAGUGGGAUGAUUAUGCAGCAUCCUGGAAAGAGGGUGAGAA